GAUCUAGGGAUUUUCUGAUCUUAGAAAAUAAAUUUUGAUUUAUUUUAGUCUUCCGCUGUAUGAUCUUGAAAAAGUUUCAAGAUCUAACCCUGAAACCCUAGAUCUGGUUCCUACACAGAUGAAGUCUACCUGCAAUAGAAAUUCGGGGCAGAGGUCCGGCUCCCGUAGGAGCUCGGAUGAAAUCAAAAAGGUGAUCGACCAUCGUAGAAAUAUGGGUGGAGUCGGGUUGCUAUAGAAAUCUAUCCUUGGGGAAGUUCGGUCGUGGACGAAGUCUGGGAAAUUCGGAUUGGAAUCUAUCAUGGCUGG
rnacentral:lncRNA from 1 species